UUGAGUGCAGAAGAGGAAAAGUGGAAUUCCAAGUGUAGCGGUUGAAAUGCGUAGAUAUUGGAGGAACACCAGUGGCGAAGGGCGACUUUCUGGGUCUGUAAACUGACACUGAGGCGCGAAUAGCGUGUGGGAGCAAAACAGGAUUAGAUACCCCUGGUAGUCCACGCCGUAAACGAUGAGUGGCUAAGUGUUAGAGGGUUUCCGCCCUUUUAGUGGCUGCAGCUAACGCAUUAAAGCACUCCGCCUGGGGAGUACGGUCGCAAGACUGAAACUCAAAGGAAUUGACGGGGGGCCCGCACAAGCGGUGGAGCAUGUGGUUUAAUUCGAAGCAACGCGAAGAACCUUACCAGGUCUUGACAUCCUCUGACAACCCUAGAGAUAGGGCUUUCCCCUUCGGGGGACAGAGUGACAGGUGGUGCAUGGUUGUCGUCAGCUCGUGUCGUGAGAUGUUGGGUUAAGUCCCGCAACGAGCGCAACCCUUGAUCUUAGUUGCCAGCAUUCAGUUGGGCACUCUAAGAUGACUGCCGGUGACAAACCGGAGGAAGGUGGGGAUGACGUCAAAUCAUCAUGCCCCUUAUGACCUGGGCUACACACGUGCUACAAUGGACGGUACAAAGGGCUGCAAGACCGCGAGGUUUAGCCAAUCCCAUAAAACCGUUGUCAGUUCGGAUUGUAGGCUGCAACUCGCCUACAUGAAGCUGGAAUCGUUAGUAAUCGCGGAUCAGC
rnacentral:rRNA from 1 species